rnacentral:rRNA from 1 species
UACGUAGGUGGCAAGCGUUGUCCGGAAUUAUUGGGCGUAAAGCGCGCGCAGGUGGUCCUUUAAGUCUGAUGUGAAAGCCCACGGCUCAACCGUGGAGGGUCAUUGGAAACUGGGGGACUUGAGUGCAGAAGAGGAUAGUGGAAUUCCGAAGUGUAGCGGUGAAAUGCGUAGAGAUUGGAGGAACACCAGUGGCGAAGGCGACUAUCUGG